rnacentral:rRNA from 1 species
UACAGAGGUCUCAAGCGUUGUUCGGAUUCAUUGGGCGUAAAGGGUGUGUAGGUGGCGCUGUAAGUCGGGUGUGAAAUUUCGGAGCUUAACUCCGAAACUGCAUUCGAUACUGCGGUGCUUGAGGACUGGAGAGGAGACUGGAAUUCAUGGUUUAGCAGUGAAAUGCGUAGAGAUCAUGAGGAAGACCAGUGGCGAAGGCGGGUCUCUGGACAGUUCCUGACACUGAGACACGAAGGCCAGGGGAGCAAACGGG